rnacentral:tRNA from 1 species
CGCGGAGUGGAGCAGUUGGUAGCUCGUCGGGCUCAUAACCCGAAGGUCGUAGGUUCGAGUCCUGCCCCCGCUA